rnacentral:misc_RNA from 1 species
UACGAGUGCCUCAAGCGUUAUCCGGAAUCAUUGGGCGUAAAGGAUGUGUAGGCGGUGUUGUUAGUCUUUUGUUAAAAACCCGGGCUUAACCCGGGCGAUGCGAAAGAAACGGCAACACUAGAAGAUAGGAGAGGUGAGCGGAACUUACGGUGUAGGGGUGAAAUCCGUUAAUAUCGUAGGGAACACCAAAGGCGAAGGCAGCUCACUGGCCUAAUCUUGACGCUGAGACAUGAAAGCGUGGGUAGCGAAUGGG